rnacentral:rRNA from 1 species
UACGUAGGGGGCGAGCGUUGUCCGGAAUUAUUGGGCGUAAAGAGCGUGUAGGCGGUUCGGUAAGUCCGCCGUGAAAACCCAGGGCUCAACCCUGGGCGUGCGGUGGAAACUGCCGGGCUAGAGGAUGGUAGAGGCGAGUGGAAUUCCGAGUGUAGCGGUGAAAUGCGCAGAUAUUCGGAGGAACACCAGUAGCGAAGGCGGCUCGCUGGGCCAUUCCUGACGCUGAGACGCGAAAGCGUGGGGAGCGAACAGG